ensembl:lncRNA
CUUUCCCAGGAUCAGGGUCUUUUCAAAUCAGUCAGCCCUUUGAAUCAGGUGGCCAGCGUAUGGAAGUCAUGUUAGUGGGUGUAAACUGUUCUAGAAUACAUUCUAAGUGGACAUGUUAUUUACCUUCCUGCUAAUUAUUUCCAGCCACAAUUUAAUAAUUUUAAAUAUCUGUCUCUUCUGUUACACAGAAACUCCAAGAUCAUUCGUGUUUUCCCUAGGAUGGUGCUAGACAAAUAAUGGGUGCUCAAUCAAUUUAAGCUGAAAAACCACUCUGCACCAGCAGGCGGAAACCUACUUUCCUGACCUGGGAUCGAAGCCAUGUCCCCUGCACUGGAAGCAUGGGAGUCUUAACCACUGGACCACCAGGAAAGUCCCCUGGAAUGCUCUUGAAAUUGAUGUGACUUCUCUGGUGGCCCAGUGGUUAAGAACGUGCCUGCCAGUGCAAUGGACAUGUGUUCGAUCGCUGUUCUGGGAAGAGUCUACAUGCCACUAAGCCCACAGGCCACAACUUCUGAAGCCGGAGCGCCCUAGAGCCCAUGCUCUGCAACAAGAGACGCCAGCACAUUGAGAAGUCCAUGCACCACAACUGGAGAGAGCCGCAAGGAAGACCCAGCAGAGCCAAAAAUUUAAAAAUUAACUUAAAAAAUUAAAUACAAAAUAGACAUAGAUAAGAGGCCAUACGAGAAAUUCAGGCAAGGCUUUACUGGAGGCCUCUGUUGCAGCAGGGCCGGGAGCUUUGCCUGCUUGCUCACUUCCUGAGCUACGGUAGGGUGAGCUGGUUUCUUAUAUGGGGUGAGGAUAGGGGCAGGUCCAGGGGUGGGGCCAGAGGGCUGGUGUGGGUGGUUUACCCCCCUCUUUGGGGUGGUGUGUGCAUCUUUCACUUCCUAAUGUACUGCCUACACGCACAGUACCCUGCUCUUGCUCCUGGCUGUUCGGAAAUGGCAGUUGGGGUUUUUGGUCUUUUUGUAUCUUGUCCAUAAUUUGCCCCAACCACGAAUACACACAGUUAUUUUUAGUUCCCCCUAGUGCCUUUGUGUGGAGAAGGAAAUGGCAACCCACUCCAAUGUUCUUGCCUGGAGAAUCCCAGGGGCGGGGGAGCCUGGUGGGCUGACGUCUAUGGGGUCACACAGAGUCGGACACAACUGAAGUAACUUAGCAGUAGCAGCAGCAGUGCCUUUGCGGAGAAGGCAAUGGCAACCCACUCCAGUACUCUUGCCUGGAAAAUCCCAUGGACGGAGGAGCCUGGUAGGCUGCAGUCCAUGGGGCGCUAAGAGUCAGACAUGACAGAGUGACUUCACUUUCACUUUUCACUUUCAUGCAUUGGAGAAGGAAAUGGCAACCCACUCCAGUGUUCUUGCCUGGAGAAUCCCAGGGACAGGGGAGCCUGGUGGGCUGCUGUCUAUGGUGUCGCACAGAGUCGGACACGACUGAAGCAACUUAGCAGCAGCAGCAGCAGCAGUGCCUUUGCACUUUGCUACUCAAGGAGACAUUAGUCUGGGUAGGAACACUGAGCUGAGGGUUCCCAGAUCCCGGCUUCCAGCUUGCCUCGUGGCCCCUCUUCGCCUGGUAUGUUUGCAGUGAGCAGCCUGGAGGGGUGAAAUGAUGUCUUCCUCCAGGACAAAGAACAGGUUACUUAGGGCUUGCUAUCGAGAAGAGGAUUUCCCAGACUCUGUUUCUCUCCUGUAACAGAACCCUUUGAAAUUUGGGUGGAGACAAAGCAGAAGGGUGCAAACAUGAAGCUUAAGCCCUGGAGAAUUGAUGCUUUUGAACUGUGGUGUUGGAGAAGACUCUUGAGAGUCCCUUGGACUGCAAGGAGAUCCAACCAGUCCAUCCUAAAGGAGAUCAGCCCCGGGUGUUCUUUGGAAGGACUGAUGCUAAAGCUGAAACUUCAGUACUUUGGCCACCUCAUGCGAAGAGUUGACUCAUUGGAAAAGACUCUGAUGCUGGGAGGGAUUGGGGGCAGGAGGAGAAGGUGACGACAGAGGAUGAGAUGGCUGGAUGGCAUCACUGACUUGAUGGACGUUGAGUCUGAGUGAACUCCGGGAGUUGGUGAUGGACAAGGAGGCCUGGCGUGCUGUGAUUCAUGGGGUCGCAAAGGGUCGGACACAACUGAGUGACUGAACUGAACUGAACUGAUGCUGGUUAUUUGCCUUGAGUGGAAAAGGCUUUUGUUUCUGAUGCAGGAGUCUUGGGUCUUCCGUUAGCAUCUAUGAAACAGCAAAAGGCUGAGUAAUUAGCUUGCAAGUAGGGUAAAAUCAAAUCCCAUUUCCCACAGUCAAAGGUAUUUUUUUUUUCUUUUUUGGUAAAAAUAAAAUGAAAUUCAUUAGGAAGUGACAAUAUUCCAUCAAAGAAUAUGAAAAAGAACAUAUAUAUAUGUAUAACUGAAUAUAUAAAUAUAUAUAGGUACAACUGUCCAGAAGAAAUUUAUACAACACUGUAAAUCAACUAUACUUCAAUGAAAUUUUACAAAAAGAUUUCAUCAGUGUAGUAGAUAUAUUUGAAAAACAAUACUAGGUGGCAUAUAAUGAACCCUAGACAAAUUAAACGCAAGUGUUAAGGAAGUCUGGCUAAAAUAAUCUGAUAAAACUUCACAGAUCGCUCUAGAAAUUAAUGAUGAAAUAGACCUACCAGUUGCAACAGUGUUAUAAAAUUGUUUCUGUGAGUAAAUAUUUUCUCAUAAAUUUCCAAUAUAAGAAAGCCAGGGACUUCCCUGGUGGUCCAGUAGCUAAGGCUCUGCCCUCCCAACGCAGAGGGCAUGGUUUCGAUCAGUCAGGGAACUAGAUUCAGCAUGCCAUGACUAAGACCUGCUGCAGACCAAAACAGUCAAAGGUAGGUUCCCAAAGACUAGAAUGCUUUGUUGAAGAACGGGGCUAAGAGUUAAAAGGGUGAUCAGGUCCAGAUGCAUUGAGAAUUAUAGUAUUUAAUCACCCUGCCUAUUAGAUAGGCUUUACCCGACUAUAUUACCAAUGGCUUCAAGCCUCCUAAUUUCCCACUACGACACUGGGUUACAGGACUUAUUUAUGUAUUUCUUUAACUAGGAAAUACCUUUGGGGUUCCUACCAUUUUUAAGAAUUUGAGUUACGUUCCCACAGGUACCCAACCUCUGGGAUCUAAUGCCUAAUGAUCUGAAGUGGAGCUGAUGUAAUAAAUCGCAUUGUAAAUGUAAUGCAUGUAAAUCAUCCCCAAAACCACACAUCCCAGUCCGUGGAAAAACAGUCUUUCAGGAAACCAGUCUCUGGUGUCAGAAAGGCUGGGGACUGCUGCUAUGAGGGAUCAUUCAAAGCCAGAGGGAACUUAAUGCUUCUUGGCAAGAAGAAUUUAACUCAAAACUUUCAACUUCAAAAACGUUUAUGUUAUCAUGCUGGAUGUAGAAAUAGUCAUAAAUGAGUGGGGUCCAAGGUGGGAAAAAUGAUUCUCACAUGGCAGAUUUAAGAGCUACUUCUAUAGAUAGGAGCACAUUAGGC